rnacentral:rRNA from 1 species
CUCAGAUUGAACGCUGGCGGCAGGCCUAACACAUGCAAGUCGAGCGGAAACGAGUUAUCUGAACCUUCGGGGAACGAUAACGGCGUCGAGCGGCGGACGGGUGAGUAAUGCCUAGGAAAUUGCCCUGAUGUGGGGGAUAACCAUUGGAAACGAUGGCUAAUACCGCAUGAUGCCUACGGGCCAAAGAGGGGGACCUUCGGGCCUCUCGCGUCAGGAUAUGCCUAGGUGGGAUUAGCUAGUUGGUGAGGUAAGGGCUCACCAAGGCGACGAUCCCUAGCUGGUCUGAGAGGAUGAUCAGCCACACUGGAACUGAGACACGGUCCAGACUCCUACGGGAGGCAGCAGUGGGGAAUAUUGCACAAUGGGCGCAAGCCUGAUGCAGCCAUGCCGCGUGUGUGAAGAAGGCCUUCGGGUUGUAAAGCACUUUCAGUCGUGAGGAAGGUAGUGUAGUUAAUAGCUGCAUUAUUUGACGUUAGCGACAGAAGAAGCACCGGCUAACUCCGUGCCAGCAGCCGCGGUAAUACGGAGGGUGCGAGCGUUAAUCGGAAUUACUGGGCGUAAAGCGCAUGCAGGUGGUUUGUUAAGUCAGAUGUGAAAGCCCGGGGCUCAACCUCGGAAUUGCAUUUGAAACUGGCAGACUAGAGUACUGUAGAGGGGGGUAGAAUUUCAGGUGUAGCGGUGAAAUGCGUAGAGAUCUGAAGGAAUACCGGUGGCGAAGGCGGCCCCCUGGACAGAUACUGACACUCAGAUGCGAAAGCGUGGGGAGCAAACAGGAUUAGAUACCCUGGUAGUCCACGCCGUAAACGAUGUCUACUUGGAGGUUGUGGCCUUGAGCCGUGGCUUUCGGAGCUAACGCGUUAAGUAGACCGCCUGGGGAGUACGGUCGCAAGAUUAAAACUCAAAUGAAUUGACGGGGGCCCGCACAAGCGGUGGAGCAUGUGGUUUAAUUCGAUGCAACGCGAAGAACCUUACCUACUCUUGACAUCCAGAGAACUUUCCAGAGAUGGAUUGGUGCCUUCGGGAACUCUGAGACAGGUGCUGCAUGGCUGUCGUCAGCUCGUGUUGUGAAAUGUUGGGUUAAGUCCCGCAACGAGCGCAACCCUUAUCCUUGUUUGCCAGCGAGUAAUGUCGGGAACUCCAGGGAGACUGCCGGUGAUAAACCGGAGGAAGGUGGGGACGACGUCAAGUCAUCAUGGCCCUUACGAGUAGGGCUACACACGUGCUACAAUGGCGCAUACAGAGGGCAGCCAACUUGCGAAAGUGAGCGAAUCCCAAAAAGUGCGUCGUAGUCCGGAUUGGAGUCUGCAACUCGACUCCAUGAAGUCGGAAUCGCUAGUAAUCGUGGAUCAGAAUGCCACGGUGAAUACGUUCCCGGGCCUUGUACACACCGCCCGUCACACCAUGGGAGUGGGCUGCAAAAGAAGUAGGUAGUUUAACCUUCGGGGGGACGC